rnacentral:misc_RNA from 1 species
UCUGAAGUUCGCAAUUAGCAACUACUAACUACUGCAGGUGGGGAAGAUUUGGCUUUAAUUGUGUGCCUGAUGAAGAGAAAAAAGUACUAAGUAGUAUUAACAGAAAAAAGAAAAUCUAAAGAAUCUGAAACUCCUGUUUCAGUUCUCCUAGUCUCAAUUAUGUGGAAUCUAUAGAAUUGAGUAAACAGCAAAUAUCAAACAUUGGGAAAAAAUGGAACAGCAAUACAACGUGGCAAAUUAAAUACUCUAAAUUGUUUAUGCAAAUAUCAUACAGUGCAAAUAGAAUCUAUAGUGAAACUUCAUUCAUCUGAACCCAUUAAAAGGAACCAACAGUUCACAUAAUUGGAUCGUUCAUUAUAACAUUUUAAAACUUUAUUUAUUGGAACAAAAUUCUAGGUAAUGUCCAAUGAACAUAUUGAAUACUAGGUAAAUACAAGGUAAAAUACUAUGACAUACUUUAUUAGAAAAUAAAAU